CGGGAUGUAGCUCAGUUCGGUUAGAGUGCGCGUCUGGGGGGCGCGAGGUCGCUGGUUCGAAUCCAGUCAUCCCGAC
rnacentral:tRNA from 1 species